UUUUUUAAGUGCCUCAUAUCUAUAAUUUAUUGCAUAUAAUUGAGAUCGUAAUUUGAAUGAAAAUUGAUCUAUUUUAUCUUUAACAGCUUUGAGAUCACUGUUUUUUUAAACUCGUUUCCCACCUUCCAAUAGUGAUGCCAUUGAGAUAAUUAUCAAAUUAGCACUCAUAUGCAUAUCAACGUUGUAAUUUAAUUUUAAAAAAGUAGCUUUGCAUUGUUUGUAUUAACGACCCUUUAUUGCUUAGCGUUAUACUGUUUAUAAAAUGGCUGCUGCAUCCCUCCUCAUUUCUAUCUUGACAGAAUGAGACAGAUGGCAUCAUGUCUCAUUUCGCUAUGUGCACAAUCAUUAACAGUAUCUGCUUGCCUUUAGGUUAGCCACAUAGGUUUGCCAGGUUUGUACUGUAACUUCCAGUGGGAGAAACAAAAGAGUCCCCUCUCAUUCAUUUACAAAGUGGUGCUUUGUAGCUUCAUACGAUUAAUUAACAUACUACCCAGCGCAGUACAAGGCUGACAUAGUUCAGGUGCACAAAUAUGCUGCAGUGUAGAACGGAAUAUGCACAAACAUUUUUUCACGGAAGCAUAAUUCGUCACUGCUGGGAGUAAUCAAAUCUCAAACGUAAAUAAGGUGAUUGCUAAUUUGCAAGUAAACAAUCGUUUCGUAGCAAAGUUAGGCAAAUUUCCAACGCUCAUAGCGGGAAACUGGAUUUCCUUCAAAAUAGUCCCGUUGGUAACAAAAAGCUUAAAGAGGCACAGGCUGACCUAUUAUGCUCAAAAUUAAAACCGUGGUAAAAUGGCCAGCAUCGUUAGUAUUUUCGCAAGUGUGUUUCAUCGAAUAUUUUGAUGGUGUGAAGUAAGGAUGUGUGCUGUAGCUGCGUCAGCCUGUUUGAGUGUGAUGUAUUCAUUUUGCAGUUGGCUGUUGCAGCCUGUAUUGCAGAGCUUAUGACCUGCUUUCACAUGCAGCAGAUUCUCCCAUAAAUUCUGAUUCAUAUCCAGCAGCUGAAUCCUGGGUCUUGCUGGAUAUUUCUUAUUCGCUUUGUUUCGAAUUUGUCGCCUUCAGCUGAAUAAACUUCACGAAGCUGAUGUCUGGCCGAUCUGUGAGGAUAAUAACAAGAAGGGGACAUUUCCAAAUCUGAUCUAAAGGUGGCUUUUCCGCAUCCAGGUCCUCCAAACAGUACUCAACCAACACCACCAUCAGCAGGAAGGAGAUUGAUACAUUCGGAAAUGGAAGAAAUUUCGUAUGAUCUAAGAAAAAAG